CGUCUGGGUUGCGGGAGCGUGAGCGAAACGAUCGUAUGGGCGGAGCCGGUGCAGCCUCCCGAGGAUAUUUCCCCAGGAAUUUGCAUACAAUCCUUUUGGAGCGAUAGCGAUACACUCUCGACGACUGAUCCCCAACUUUAUUGCGUGGAAAAAGAUAAUAGAUGAGAGACUGAGAGAAUAAGAAAGAUAGAUAAAUAGAUAGAUAGAUAGAGAGAGAGAGAGAGAGAGAGAGGGAGAAAGAAAGAGAGAGAAAGAAAGAAAAAGUGUAACGAAAUACUUCGUGGAGAUCGACGACGAUGACGACGAUGAUGAUGAUAAUGCACCGUACAAAGAGCCACCACCGCACGCUCGAGAACCCAAGCGAGCACUGCUCGCGCCAACAGGUGAGCUUCGGCCUCAGCCACCGCCGACGAUUUAGUCCAGUGACGUAUCAACCGGUGUGGCGUCCUUAACAAGGGCAACAGAUGGCGCUAUCUAUAACAUUCAUCGAUUCUAUAUUUUGUUUUGAACAAUUUUGAUAACACGCAUUUAAUUUUGUAUAAGAGCAAAGAAAUAUAUUCAACAUAUGAAAAAAUUUGACGAGUUUUGAUAAGUAAAUGCAAUUUGAAUCGAUAAUAAACAAUAUGUACAAGAGUUUCGCGUUUACAAAGGCACUCGUUCAAUCCUAAAGCUUAUACGAGUUAAAUAUAUAUAUAACAACACUUAUAUCACUUAAUAUAUUCGUUAUUAUAAUGAUUUUUGCAAAUUUAUGACAACUUUUUAAUAGUUUUAUUGUACACUCUUAACAUGAGCUGCGGUGUCCGAGUGG